UGUGUAAGCCGGGGGGGCGGCAGGGGGACGAGGAAGGCGAUCCGGUUUGCUGAAGGUCAAAGCCCAGGAGCUUGUUGCGAAGGACCUGUGCAAAGGAGGUUGAUAUGAAUGGUGAGAAGUUUUUAUUUACUAGGAACCCAGAUCUGGCAUCCUACGGCUGAACACCACUCAGAUCCUAAAAGCAGCUUGAAUAGCUUAAGCCUUUCUUUGGAUCGAGAAGUGAUUAAAAAUGUUUUGCUGAAACUUCAUCACAAGAAAGUAAAACUGACUGGAUAUAAAAAUACCCAGCCCAAAAGGGAAACGUUUCAGACAAUGGAUUAAAUGAGGUGGUCAAAAUGCAAAAUUCCUGUAGAUCAUAGUCUCCCCAAGUCCAUCUGAAUACAUUAAGGAUGUGUUACAAGAAGGCUUCCCAAGUUGUGGUCAUUUGCAUUCUUUGCUGAGAUUUGGUGAAACCAUCCCUCCAUUUUUUCCUAACCUGUUUAUUUUGUCAGUCAUUCUCCUGACUUAGACAUCAUUUCCCUUUUUCUGCCUGCUGCAUCUUGCCCAACAGCUCAGCUAUAAACUGUAGCAGUCACUGUUCUUUUGUUAUUGCCUAGUAAUUCACUGGGGUCUUGAUCCUUGGCAAUGUCUCCUAUGUGAGGCCACUAAUAAUAAAUAAAACUUUUUAAAAAUAA